GUCACAUUGUCGAGUCCUCUAAUCUGAAAUUGAAAUUUUUCUUCAACCUACUUACCUAGUUUUUUGAUGUUUUACAUAAAUUUAUUUUAAAUACGAUACAUGAAUAUGAUUCUAAAAAUACAAGUUAUUCCUACAAACUUUAUCACAACAUACAUAAAUAUCCACGUAAGUCGCAUAUAGAAGCCGUUUCGAACAAAUACAUUUCUUCAAUCCAGGUGAAUAGAAUAAAAAAUAGAAUGACGCCAUCUCCAAAAGAAUUAUAGAGGUCUUGGGACAUAAGGGGGAAGCAAGUCGUAUAGAGAUGUCCUGUGCCUGGACAAAACAAACACAAAAGAAAAACUUUAGGUUACACAAAGAUUUAAGAUAAAAAUACGAUUUUUCCUCAAACACCUGGGAAAAACAACACAGUUCUAAUGGCAGAUUUUUGAUCUUAAUUUGACAGUUUACAUAUUUAGCUCAUGGAAUUAAUAGAUGGACGACGCGGACGACCUCGGUUGGUGCAUACUUGUCUAUCAUGUCGGAGUCAUAUGAAUCGAAGAGUUAACGAAGAAUGAUGAUUAAAAUAUAUGAUACAAAUGGCUUAAUAACCUAGGUGUAGGUAGUACCACCAUUUGUAUGAUACAUCUGUGCAUAGGUUAUACAUGUCAAGUAAUUAAUUUUGCAAUUUCAAUUGAGAUCUUCAGUUGCUACGAUAAGCCAUAAGAAACAUUUUGGUGCCCUACCAGCCACCGCCUCCGCUGUGUUGUCCUACUAGGAACUCUGUAUGAGACACUUUGCAUUCUUGCAUUGAUGGUGAGCAGGCCAGGACGCUUUCUAACAGCCCGCUCGCGGUUCGUUUUUCCCUCUACGUUACCUUUGAAUGCCCUGAGUUUUCUGUUACAACCCUGCAAUCGCAAGCGAACUAUUGGCAAUUGCAUAGCCCUGAGUAAAACCGACAACGGUACAAUGAUCCUUAAGCAGAAUAUCGUCUAUGAAUAGAGAGCUGCGCCACGGGGACUACCCUGUGAACAAUUGGUUCGACCACCAAAUUUUCUAAUAGUUUGGCACGUUAUACGAAUAAGUAAAUCUACUUACCUAGUCGUAUCAAGUGUAUAAUUAGAUAGGUAUACCUACCUAUCUAAUUAUACACUUGUUACGAAAAACAUGAUAGAAUCGCUAAGCUUACUCACGGCAUUUGUAUAACAGACAAAGAGGAACAAUAUGACAAUGAAAUAAGUCAGAUGCUGAUGCAUUAUCUAUAAUCAAACUUAUUUGUUUUGUAUCUUAAACGAUUAUUGUAUGUACUGGUACGCCCCGGUGGAAAUAAAUGUUUCGCAAAAACUUUAUUGCCUUUUAAAUUUCCAAUAACUAUAACAUUUGAUAGAAAUACGUUUUUCACUUUAUAUCCGAAGCUGUAUAGGAAAACUUGGUAUUAUCUGCGAUGGGCCUUAUUCGUCACAUGCUUUUCUGCCUAGCCAUAUUUUUUUGUUUUGCUGUCUAUGUAACAAUGGCUUGUGAGGGAUGUACUGGGCGCAAGGAUCCAGAUGGCAUAAAAGAUAAAUUUGUUAAAAUAGCGGCACCUAAAAGGAAAUUCAUGUUGCGUCUCAAGGGGAGUUCAUCUCUUUAUCUCUAAUAUAUUUAUUUAAAUUAUUAUAA